rnacentral:tRNA from 1 species
GGGGGUAUAGCUCAAGUGGGAGAGUGCGUGUUUGCAUGCAAGAGGUCCUGGGUUCAAUCCCCAGGUACCUCCU